rnacentral:rRNA from 1 species
UACGGAGGGUGCAAGCGUUGUUCGGAAUUACUGGGCGUAAAGCGCGCGUAGGUGGUCUGUUACGUCAGAUGUGAAAGUCCACGGCUCAACCGUGGAAGUGCAUUUGAAACUGGCAGACUUGAGUACUGGAGGGGGUAGUGGAAUUCCCGGUGUAGAGGUGAAAUUCGUAGAUAUCGGGAGGAAUACCGGUGGCGAAGGCGACUACCUGGCCAGAUACUGACACUGAGGUGCGAAAGCGUGGGGAGCGAACAGAAUUAGAAACCCCAGUAGUCC